UCCAUUCUUGGCUGAAGAAUAAAUAAAUACACAUUCCUCAGAGGAGAGAUGAUGGAUUGACGUGGAUUUUUCAAGGUUUUUUUGCAAAGGGGACACCGUGUUGAAAAUGGAUGACAUAAAUUACAGUGGACCUGGUGGAAUUCACGAGAAUGUCACAAAGCUUGACUGAAUAGUGAGAAAACAUUUAUGCCUGGAAAUGAAUGGAAAAGUCAGUCACCCCCAGUCGUACACUGAAAACCUGACAGCAGACAAAGAGCAGGCUCUGGGCAACCCGAGGCAAGAGCUUAUGCCAAUGAAUUCACCAGGAGGGAUUACAGAUGUGUCACUGUGUACACUCAACCCUCUUUCAGACACUGCAAUAAGGUGGUAGGUGUGUAUUCCCUCACCAUGUGGUCCUGGAAAGCAUUUUAUUCUGCUCCACCAAAUUGAAUGGAAGAGUCUACUAUCUUCAAGUACUUGUGGUGACUUGGCUGUUGGCACUUGCUGCACUUUUUAUCAAGGGCUUUCUAAGCUGCUCCUGCAUAUUUGAGAUGAUUCUUCAAAGACUGCUUCAAUGGGCCUGUUUUUUUGAGGACUGUUAAGAACUCUAAGGCUGAAACAGCACAUCAGCUCUCUCAGGCACCUGAGACUGCAGCAACAUGUGUCUUGCACAGGAGAGCCAGGAGUGUAUCUAUUUGGACUGUAGCUGUUUCUCAACAACCACCAGAAAACACAAGGCAAAAGACAACUAGCUUCAGUAAGAAAGCAAUCAAUUGAUGACCCUUCUUGCCAAAGACCUGUCUCCCCAUGAUAGCAGAGAGCUUUCUGAAUGCAUAGACAGGAUCUUUACAGAAAUGGCUUGCAUAAGGUCACAGAAGAGCUAUUUUUGAAACAAAGUUCCCAAACCUGCAGCAUUGCCAGACUGACAGGGAGGGAAAAUUUUCCCCCCGACUUGCAGUGAGAAGGCCGAAGGCAGGUAUUGGGGAGCCUGGUCUGCCUGACUCACUUGUUGGCAGCGACAAUUUCCAGCAAGCCCCAAACAUUUGUGAGAAGCUGUGUGACCCCUGGAGGUCCCUGCAGGUGAUCAGGGCAGGCAGAACUCCCGUGGUCCCCAAGGGAAGCGGAGCGCGGUGCCGGCACGUUUCGGCACGCAGGAGCCAACACUGACCCCGCACCAGGCUGGCUGAGGAGGAGGGAGCACGGCUCUCCAGCAGGCAGGAAGGUAGGCAGGCAGGGCUGGAACACAGUGUGUUCCAGUAAUUUGGGAUGACAGGGGAGACAU